rnacentral:rRNA from 1 species
GAUGAACGCUGGCGGCGUGCCUAAUACAUGCAAGUCGAGCGAACAGACGAGGAGCUUGCUCCUCUGACGUUAGCGGCGGACGGGUGAGUAACACGUGGAUAACCUACCUAUAAGACUGGGAUAACUUCGGGAAACCGGAGCUAAUACCGGAUAAUAUAUUGAACCGCAUGGUUCAAUAGUGAAAGACGGUUUUGCUGUCACUUAUAGCUGGAUCCGCGCCGCAUUAGCUAGUUGGUAAGGUAACGGCUUACCAAGGCAACGAUGCGUAGCCGACCUGAGAGGGUGAUCGGCCACACUGGAACUGAGACACGGUCCAUACUCCUACGGGAGGCAGCAGUAGGGAAUCUUCCGCAAUGGGCGAAAGCCUGACGGAGCAACGCCGCGUGAGUGAUGAAGGUCUUCGGAUCGUAAAACUCUGUUAUUAGGGAAGAACAAAUGUGUAAGUAACUAUGCACGUCUUGACGGUACCUAAUCAGAAAGCCACGGCUAACUACGUG